rnacentral:rRNA from 1 species
UGGGGAAUUUUGGACAAUGGGGGGAAACCCUGAUCCAGCCAUCCCGCGUGUGCGAUGAAGGCCUUCGGGUUGUAAAGCACUUUUGGCAGGAAAGAAACGUCAUGGGUUAAUACCCCGUGAAACUGACGGUACCUGCAGAAUAAGCACCGGCUAACUACGUGCCAGCAGCCGCGGUAAUACGUAGGGUGCAAGCGUUAAUCGGAAUUACUGGGCGUAAAGCGUGCGCAGGCGGUUCGGAAAGAAAGAUGUGAAAUCCCAGAGCUCAACUUUGGAACUGCAUUUUUAACUACCGGGCUAGAGUGUGUCAGAGGGAGGUGGAAUUCCGCGUGUAGCAGUGAAAUGCGUAGAUAUGCGGAGGAACACCGAUGGCGAAGGCAGCCUCCUGGGAUAACACUGACGCUCAUGCACGAAAGCGUGGGGAGCAAACAGG